UUUCGAGAAUUAUCCUGAAUUCAGGAAAAUUCGUGAUUUUGACAACAUUUUGGAUUUCGUUAAAAUUACACUUAAUCGACCCCAAAUUUCACGGAGAUCACAAAUAUUUGGUUUAUUUUGUCGACAGCUCAAUUGUUGAGGCGGUAUCGCUUACUUCCGGUAUACUUCCGGAAAAUUUGCAUAAAACUAGCAAGUGAGCUUUGUUCUCUGUACUAUUCUCAAGAUUUCAAGCUAGAUUUAGGCAAAUAAAAGUGCACCGUUCAAGUUAUACGGAAUUAUGUACGUCUUUGGAGGUCUACUGUCGUUGGAGUUCUACGGUCGCCACUCGCCAUACCGAUCACACUAGUGGCGGUGAAAAAAUUUUUGGUACUCUUAUUUAUGAAUAUUUUUAAUGCAAAGCAGUAAUGUUAUUUAAAAUCUACAAUAUCACUAGAAUUAAAAAAUUCAAUGUUGUUUCU